rnacentral:sRNA from 1 species
GCAUCACUUUGCCCUCAACCCCAUUUUCCGGCACUACACCAAGUUCUUUCUGAAGGAGAUCCUGCGUUUAGGCUUUAAAUCCUGUCUCUACUACCGUGUUUACCCAAAAUCCAGAGAAGGCAAGUUCCAGAACCCCUACGCCCACUCCCUGACAUCUGCCCUUCAUUACUUGGUUCCCGUGCGACCACGACGACAGAUUGUCUAUCCUCUGGAAAAGCUUGGCAUAAACGCUCCAUCAAAGGCGGUCUCCAAGGAUCCGAUGAGUUAUGCUUUAAACCAUACAAACAGAAAACUAACAUUGGAACCUAAAAUUACUGUAAAUGCCAAGAUCAUUGUGGUUGGUGCAUCCAGUGUUGGAAUUUCCUUCCUAGAGACAUUGGUAUUUUGCCACUGUUUUAAUGAUAAAGAUUAUGCACUGAUGUCACUGUGCUCCUGGGUUAAUGUCGUGGUGGGUAGAAUGACCGGCAUAGACCGAGCAGCCAAGCACGUUGUGCUUUCGACGGACAAGAUCGUGCCCUACGACCACCUCAUCCUCUGCACCGGGCAGCAGUACCAG